AAAGGUAAGCUACUAAGAGCGAAUGGUGGAUGCCUUGACUGGUAAAGGCGAUGAAGGACGUACUAGACUGCGAUAAGCUACGGGGAGCUGUCAAGAAGCUUUGAUCCGUAGAUUUCCGAAUGGGGCAACCCAAUGUAUAGAGAUAUACAUUACCUAUAUAGGAGCGAACGAGGGGAAUUGAAACAUCUUAGUACCCUCAGGAAAAGAAAUCAAUAGAGAUUGCGUCAGUAGCGGCGAGCGAAAGCGCAAGAGGGCAAACCCAGUGCUUGCACUGGGGGUUGUAGGACUGCAAUGUGCAAGAGGUGAGUUUAGCAGAACAUUCUGGAAAGUAUAGCCAUAGAGGGUGAUAGUCCCGUAUGCGAAAAACAAACCUUAGCUAGCAGUAUCCUGAGUAGGGCGGGACACGAGAAAUCCUGUCUGAAGCUGGGUCGACCACGAUCCAACCCUAAAUACUAAUACCAGAUCGAUAGUGCACAAGUACCGUGAGGGA
rnacentral:rRNA from 1 species